rfam:Populus trichocarpa scaffold_2_contig_26, whole genome shotgun sequence.
UAAUCUGUUUAAAGCAGACUCUCAUCUAAUCGUGACAGAUUCACAUCUGAUUGCUCAGAAUUAUUUGUUAUCGCAAACUCGACUACAUCAUUGACACUCAUAAAACAUAUUUGGAAGAAAAAAUUCAAAAGAUUAUGGUUCCUGUGUAAAAUGAU